rnacentral:rRNA from 1 species
CCUACGGGAGGCUGCAGUGAGGAAUAUUGGUCAAUGGGCGCGAGCCUGAACCAGCCAAGUAGCGUGAAGGAUGACUGCCCUACGGGUUGUAAACUUCUUUUGCCGGGGAGCAACGGGCGCCACGUGUGGCGCCACUGAGAGUACCCGGAGAAAAAGCCACGGCUAACUACGUGCCAGCAGCCGCGGUAAUACGUAGGUGGCAAGCGUUAUGCGGAUUUACUGGGUGUAAAGGGCGUGUAGGCGGGAGGGCAAGUCAGAUGUGAAAACUAUGGGCUCAACCCAUGGACUGCAUUUGAAACUGUACUGCUUGAGUGCUGGAGAGGCAAGCGGAAUUCCGUGUGUAGCGGUGAAAUGCGUAGAGAUACGGAGGAACACCAGUGGCGAAGGCGGAUUGCUGGACAGUAACUGACGCUGAGGCGCGAAAGCGUGGGGAGCAAACAGGAUUAGAUACCCCUGUAGUC